AGUUUGAUCAUGGCUCAGAUUGAACGCUGGCGGCAGGCCUAACACAUGCAAGUCGAACGGUAACAGGAAUCAGCUUGCUGAUUUGCUGACGAGUGGCGGACGGGGGAGUAAUGUCUGGGAAACUGCCUGAUGGAGGGGGAUAACUACUGGAAACGGUAGCUAAUACCGCAUAACGUCGCAAGACCAAAGAGGGGGACCUUCGGGCCUCUUGCCAUCGGAUGUGCCCAGAUGGGAUUAGCUAGUAGGUGGGGUAACGGCUCACCUAGGCGACGAUCCCUAGCUGGUCUGAGAGGAUGACCAGCCACACUGGAACUGAGACACGGUCCAGACUCCUACGGGAGGCAGCAGUGGGGAAUAUUGCACAAUGGGCGAAAGCCUGAUGCAGCCAUGCCGCGUGUAUGAAGAAGGCCUUCGGGUUGUAAAGUACUUUCAGCGGGGAGG
rnacentral:rRNA from 1 species